UGGGGGAAUGUCAUCGGCUUCACACCGUAAACUUAUUGGGAGGGGCAUGGAAGAGGUCAGCGUUUGAUUAUUUGAUAGAAAAAUGACAUAUUAAAUAAGUUGGGUCAUUGAAGGCAUUGAAUGUCUUUCAAACUCAUAUGGAGUGAUGGGGAGUCUAAUCUUUGUUUUGUCUUGCACGGGUUUACAGUUUACCAAGACCCUUUUUAAUUUUCUAGAUAAAUACCAUUAAGAGUAGACCUGUAAACGGAUCGGGUUUAUUGGGUUUAGAUCGAGUUCAACCCGAUCCGUUAAGUUAACGGGUCACCCGUUAACAAUUAUUAUUAUUAUUAUUUUUUGCAUAAAGUUUAUUUUUUGUUAUUAAGACUUUACUAAAAUGACUAAAAUAUCCUCAACUAACGGGUGCUAACGGGUGUUAACAAGUCUUAACGGGUCUAACAGGUUGACCUAAAGUGACCCGUUAUUUAACAGGUUGUUAACGGGUUCAUCCGUUAACGACCCGAUCCGUUAAGCAUCCACCCAAAUACAAAUAUUAACGGGUUGGGUCGGGUCGGGUUAACGGGUUGGGUCCAAAAUACCAGGCCUAAUUAAGAGGGUUAAUAUACCCACCUCAUAAUCUUAUUUUUCCACCCACUUGUUAAUGAAAAUUUUAAUAACGAAUUUAAUCUUAUGUAAAAAGACUUCAAAGGCCUUGUUAAAAGUUAAUCCUUUUAUAUAUUCUUCGUAGUCAAAGAAAAAAAAAAGAACAGAAAAAAAUUUAAAAACUAAAAUGAGAAAAGAAUCAAAUCUUCCCAUUUUGUCUCUUCAUUCCCCGCCACUGUCAACUCUUUCUUCCUCCUCCAUCUUCUAUCUUUUCAUUCCACCCCCACCCACCCCAAAUUCUCUCUCUUUUUUCCCCUACUUUCAACCCUUAAUUCUAAAUUGGAAUCGGAAAAUUGAAUCUUAAAUCCAGAUUUGGUAGGGGGAGAAAGAAAGAGGUAGAGAUGAACAUAGAAAGGAGAAGAAAACAGAAGGAAUAUAACUUCCCCAAGGACAAAGGAAAAAGGAGUUGCCGCCGUCAUAUGUAGUGCCUGGUUGUGGUUUUUUUUUGGUAGGUUAGGCAGGGACAUUCACGGCUGUUCCAUUCUCUUAAAAUCGAUUCAAUCAUUUUUUAUAUUUUAUUUUAUUUUAUUUAGGAAACUGUUAGGGAUAAGUAGGUGGGAAUAAAGUGUUUGAUUUUUUUUAAACUUUUUAUGAUGGAUAAAAAUAUAACGUAGGUAGAAAAAUAAAAUUAUGAAGUUGGCAUAGUAGAACUCACUAUUAAUAACUCAACAAAUAAUUCACAGAAAUGAUUAACAUUACUAAGAAAAAAAAAGGAAAAUACAUGGCAAUCUACAUGCGUGCAUGAGUGAUUGAUCAAUAUGUUUAAUUUUCAAAAGUCUUACCUUUUUUUUUUUUUGAUUCUAAAAUAUAUUGAUGUUUUGUUACUUAGUGUUACGAUCUAAUAAUAUUUCUCUUCACUUGUCAGUGAGAGGUCUUAGGUAUGAUUUUUGCCUCAAACGAGUUUGAACCAC
rnacentral:lncRNA from 1 species